rnacentral:rRNA from 1 species
AUUGAACGCUGGCGACAGGCCUAACACAUGCAAGUCGAACGAGUGGCGGACGGGUGAGUAAUGACUGGGAAACUGCCUGAUGGAGGGGGAUAACUACUGGAAACGGUAGCUAAUACAGCAUACCAUCGGAUGUGCCAAGAUGGGAUUAGCUAGUAGGUGGGGUAAAGGCUCACCUAGGCGACGAUCCCUAGCUGGUCGGAGAGGAUGACUAGCCCCACUGGGACUGCGACACGGUCCAGACGCCUCCGGGAGGCAGCAGUGGAGAAUAUUGCACAAUGGGCGCAAGGCUGAUGCAGCCAUGCCGCGUGUAUGAAGAAGGCCUUCGGGUUGUAAAGUACUUUCAGCGGGGAGGCGUUACUCGCAGAAGCAGCACCGGCUAACUCCGUGCCAGCAGCCGCGGUAAUUC